GGUAGUAGCAAAUAUUCAAGUGAGAACCUUGAAGACUGAAGUGGAGAAAGGUUCCAUGGUAACAGCAGUUGGACAUGGGUUAGUCGAUCCUAAGCCAUAGGGAAGCUCCGUUUCAAAGUGCGCAAUUUGCGCCCAUGGCGAAAGGGAAGCCGGUUAAGAUUCCGGCACCAGGAUGUGGAUUUUUGGCGGUAACGCAAAUGAACUUGGAGACAUUGGCAGGGGCCCCGGGAAGAGUUAUCUUUUCUGCUUAACAGCUUGUCGCCCUGAAAUCGGUUUGUCCGGAGCUAGGGUUAAAUGGCUGCAAGAGCUCGGCACUUUUGCCGGGUCCGGUGCGUUCUUGACAAUCCUUGAAAAUCCAAGGGAACGAAUAAUUAUUUAUCUGGUAGCCUACCGUCUCAUCUACACGAAAAGGGAACAAAAGAU
rnacentral:ncRNA from 1 species